GAUGAAGAACGUAGCGAAAUGCGAUAAGUAAUGUGAUUUGCAGAAUUCAGUGAAUCAUCGAAUCUUUGAACGCACAUUGCGCCCCCUGGUAUUCCGGGGGGCAUGCCUGUCCGAGCGUCAUUACAACCCUCAAGCUCAGCUUGGUGUUGGGCCCCGCCGCCCCGGCGGGCCCUAAAGUCAGUGGCGGUGCCGUCCGGCUCCGAGCGUAGUAAUUCUUCUCGCUCUGGAGGUCCGGUCGUGUGCUCGCCAGCAACCCCCAAUUUUUUUCAGGUUGACCUCGGAUCAGGUAGGGAUACCCGCUGAACUUAAGCAUAUCAAUAAGCGGAGGA
rnacentral:misc_RNA from 1 species